AGGGAGAAGGGGGAAAUGGUGAAGAGAGGAAGAGGGGGACAGGAGGAGGAAGACAGAGUUAGCUGUGCCUGAAGCAAGAGCUUCUGCUGGACUUUAUAUCAACAUGAGCCAAUCACUUCCAUUGUUGAAAGAUUUGCCAAACUGGAGGAUUCACAGGGGACCAUAAGGAAAGUAAAUCAAAGAUGGUUACAAAUGCAGCAGCGUUAGGCAAUCCCGAGUAUGGCCAGGGCCUCAGGAGUAGAAGAGAGGGAAAGAUGGAAGAAAAUUAAAUGACCUGCCAGAGAAACUGCUUAUUUCACAGAAGGAUGGUGCUGGCUGAAAGAUGCUUUCUUGAAAUGGAAGGAUUACUGCCUUACACAGGUUCCCCUGAAGAUGUAUUUUAUUUGCAUUUUAAUUCUUAGAGCUAAAAGGCAUGAGCAUGAACUAUUGAGGAUAUUAACUCUGAAACUUCAUCUGCAUUGUUUCUGUUUGCAUUCUGUAUAGUGUGUUACAUAGGAAUAUAUCAACAAAAAUAUAUACUCCUGGCUAUAAAUUAGGUUUGACUAUUCAUUUGAUAAAAGCUACACCUAUCCUUUUGAUAAUAAAUAAAUAAAUACAUAAUAGAUUGAUAAUGUCUAGUGUUGGUGAAAGUAUGGGGAAGCAGUUACAGUCAUUCUUACAUAUUGCAGAAUAGUGGUGAUUGCUGCAACAUUUUGUAUUCUGGCAGCAUGUAGCAAUAUUUUAAAAUCCUGUUUUUCUUUUAUGAAUUCAUUUAAUGAAAACCUAUUGAGCACAGACUAUGGAGCAGCAACCAUUCUAGUUACUGGGGAUAUGGUAGUGGCAAAAUAAAGUCCUUAACCUCAUGGAUCAUGCUUUUAUUUGGAGUGGGAAUGGAGACAGAAAAUAAACAAACAACUAAAUACAAAGUAUGUCAGAUGCAGACUAAUGCUCUGAACAAAAUAAAGUAGGGUAAGGGGGAAUAAGAAUACCUGCUUCUUUUGGGGAGGUGUGUCAUUUAUUUUAUAUAAAGUGGUCAUGAAAGACCCCACUGAGAAACUGACAGUUGAGUAGAAAUUUGAAGGAAGUGAGAGAAAUAAGGACAUCUGGAGACCUGAGCAACAGAGUUCCUAGUAGGGGCAACAGUGAAUAUAAGAAAUUCUAAGGUGGAGGCUUCUUACUGGAUCAAUGGACUAGUGCUGAGGCCAGUGUGUCUUUUGUAAACAUUGAUAAUGGCAUUUUAUUAUUCAAAUUUCUGAAAUGUUUAUGUUUUCAA